rnacentral:rRNA from 1 species
CAGCCGCCGCGGGAAUACGAAGGGGGCUAGCGUUGUUCGGAAUCACUGGGCGUAAAGGGUGCGUAGGCGGGAUCUUAAGUCAGGGGUGAAAUCCCGAGGCUCAACCUCGGAACUGCCUUUGAUACUGGGGUCCUUGAGUCCGGAAGAGGUGAGUGGAACUGCGAGUGUAGAGGUGAAAUUCGUAGAUAUUCGCAAGAACACCGGUGGCGAAGGCGGCUCACUGGUCCGGAACUGACGCUGAGGCACGACAGCGUGGGGAGCAAACAGGAUUAGAUACCCCCGUAGUCCCUGUCUCUUAUAC